UUAAAAAGCUCGUAGUUGGAUUUCUGUGGGGACGGAGCGGCCGGCCGCUACUAGCGGUUCGAGCUAGCGCUUUCCCUACAUCCUGCCGCGAACCGUGCUACCAUUAGUUUGGUGGCGCCGGGGAUCGGCUCGUUUACUUUGAGAAAAAUAGAGUGUUCAAAGCAGGCCACACGCCUUGAAUAAGUUAGCAUGGAAUAAUAACUAAGGACUUCGGUUCUAUUUUGUUGGUGUUCGGGACUGAAGUAAUGAUUGAUAGGGACAGUUGGGGCGGUCCGUAUUCCAAAGCGAGAGGUGAAU
rnacentral:rRNA from 1 species